rnacentral:rRNA from 1 species
CCUACGGGUGGCUGCAGUGGGGAAUAUUGGGCAAUGGGCGCAAGCCUGACCCAGCACCGCCGCGUGAAGGAAGAAAGCCCUCGGGGUGUAAACUUCUUUUAUCAGGGACGAAACAAAUGACGGUACCGGAUGAAUACGCCACUGCUACCGACGGGGCAGCAGCCGCGGUAAUACGUAGGUGGCAAGCGUUAUCCGGAUUUACUGGGUGUAAAGGGCGUGUAGGCGGGAGAGCAAGUCAAGAGUGAACUUCCAGGGCUCCACCCUGGACCUGCGUUUGAAACUGUUCGUCUUGAGUGUUGGAGAGGCAGUCGGAAUUCCGUGUGUAGCGGUGAAAUGCGUAGAUAUACGGAGGAACACCAGUGGCGAAGGCGGCCUGCUGGACAUUAACUGACGCUGAGGCGCGAAAGCGUGGGGAGCAAACAGGAUUAGAUACCCCGGUAGUC